GGCUGUGGUGGUGAGGUGUGAGUGUGACAUCAAUUUUUGGUGUGAUGUCGACUCGUUUCCGUUUGUAAUUUGUAUGUAUAAUCAAAUUACAUUAGAAUUGGGGUACUACACUAACCUACGUGUCCAAUCACAGUUUCUCUGCGUCAAUAAGUAUCUUUUCCUUUGAUACAAAUUUGUUAAUGCCUAACUAGCAGUAUCGAAGAUGUAACUUGGGAAGCUAUCCUACUAGACCUACAGUAUGGAAUGUGGAGCCAUGUAACCAGUGGACCUAGGCCUAACUUAUUUAACUUACGUUUUAUGACCAGUGCUACAAAAAAUAUAAAAGGAAAAUAUUAGAAACAACAUCAUGGCUAGUGGAAAAACGUGGGCCAACAUUUGCACAGUAUGUGGAAGACAUGUAGAAAUUCUCAACGGCGAUUUUGCAUUUUCCAUGGAACUGCACAACCAAUCACAUAAAUCACUAGAUUAUGUCAACAACUCUUUGGACGGAAACCUUAACCGCUCAAUUGAAAAGAUAGAUAAUGCUUCAAAACUGAAUUUGAACUACUGUCACGAUUGUAAUGAAAGUUUUGAAAUUAUCAAUAACAACUUCAGUUUAUCUUUUCAACGACAUGCUGAGAAACACAAAGGAGAUAAUACAGAUGCUUUGUCAGAUCAUUCAUCUACCUCUAGUAAAAAAACUAAGGGAUCUCAAGAAGUGACAAAAGAGAAACAACAACCUCAGCCUGUGGUAACAAGUAUGUUAGACGCCAUCUUCCAUACAAUGCCUGAAGGUUUGAAGGCCCAUCGCAGUUUCAUUUCUGAAAAAGGUUGCAGUAAAGCUGUUUGCAACCUUUGUGAAAUAAUAAUUGAUCCCAUUUUUAGCAUGAGUGAACAUUUGAAAACAAAGCAACAUGAAGACAACACGAUCUCAGUAAUCAAAAGAAUAUUUAGUUCAGAGCUACACGAACAAAUGGAGUUUAUAUCUUUUUAUGGCUCAAAUCUUUGUUGUAAUUUAUGCCGCUGUAAAAUCGAUCUCUGCUCUGAUAACCUACAUAAGACUGCAAUGAGUAUAGUCAUUCACAAUGCAGGGAAAGGUCACUCAUGUCAAAGAACUAAUGAUGGCAAUAGUACUGAUAAAACUUUACUUAUCAUAAAAAGUCUUGCUCUCAUGAACCCUAUAAUUAAUGAAAACCAACAUUUUAUUGAACACAGCAUGCAUCCCUACUUCAAGUGUAAACCAUGCGAAAAGCAACUUGCAUAUUGUGAGAAUGAUAAGGAGAUGGCAUCAAAUUUUAUUGCUCACUUUAAUUCUUCAGCUCACACCAAACAUCUGAGCGCUGUUUUGCUUUUGUCGAAAUGGAGUGGUUUGAACAUCCCUGGUAAAGAAAAUCACAAUUUUGCCGUAAAGAAACAAAAUAUUUACUGUUCAAGCUGCAAUUGUAAUAUUGAAGCAAACCUUGAUCAACUUCUGUCUCAUGUCAGAAUGAAUUUUGUCAUGCAAGAACCAGCGCAGUCUAAUGCUGCUCAAAAGACUAUGAAUACACCUCAUACUCAAACUGAUUCGUCACAAAGUAAAAUAAAUAUGAAAACUCAAUCAGAAGAGAUUAUAAACAAGCCAUCCUUGGCUCAACAAAAUCAAAUACCAAAAGUAUCAGCCACAGUUAAAAGGUUAGUGAUGAGUUUACCUGCUCAGUUUCAAAACAUGGUUACAAUGAAUAAGAAAGGAGAGGCUGUGUGUUCAAUCUGCAACUGCACAAUUCCACCAACAACUUACAAUAUGACAACCCAUUUUAAUGGAAAUAGUCACAAAAAGAAAGAAAAUGAAUCAAAAUCGUCUGCUAGUAGGCCUAACAGUAAUAUAGCUGAGAAACUCAAAGGACUUCGUGGUCAAGAAAAGGUAACAACUAAUCCAAACUCUGGCAUUGAGUUUUAUUCGCCAUCCAUUUAUCAUUCACGGUUAGCUGAAAAUAAGAAGUACUUUGUUAGGUAUAAUGGUGAAGACAAGUACAUCUGUGUUCUAUGUGGGACUAUUUUUCAAGAAGAUGGAAACCUGCAAAGAAACAUUCUGCUACAUAUUGACAAUCAAGAUCACUUGAACAAAAUCCAGCUUAAACAGGAAAUGUGUCAAUUGUUACCCAGGCAUAGCGACUGUUUGGUGAAGGAACUCUUUGAUGUAAUCCCCAUGACCUUUCAAAAAGAUUUGCAAUAUAUCAAGGCACCAGAGGGGAUGAAUUUUAUCUAUUGUGAAAUCUGCUACAUUAGGAUUUCAAGACACAAGAACUGUUUAAUCGAACAUCUUGAAGGUGGUUAUCAUAAAUCAUCAGUUGAGAGAUUUGGAAAGAUUCAACUAAAAAAUGUAGUGGGAAAACCUACUAUCGACCCAGAAGCUAUAUUUGAAGAUCUUAAGAAGAACCAUAAAGAAAUCAAGAAAAAUAGCAAGUACAUAUGCAAGACUAAUGAGGAUUAUUUUUGUCAACUAUGCAAAGCGGUAAUAAAAGCUUCGUUUGACAUUAAUCUCCUCGAAGUAAACUUUUUGAGCCAUUUUAAUGGUAAGAAACACCUGAAGAAUGUAGCCGGUGAGUUUAGUAUGAUGCUUGACAAAAUGCAGAUCGAUAGCGAAAUAGUGAGAAACAGUAGAAAAUUCUUGGAGAAAAGAAAUGAUACCGUUAUCUGUACAUUAUGCCCCUGUCAAAUAUCUAUGUCUAAUGCUGAUCGCCUUAGACACAACCUAGAAGUCCAUUUAUCAGGCUCUGCGCACAAAAAUAAGUUGGAAUCUAAAGCAAGUAUGCCAUCUGCGUCUUCCCAUCAGAAUGCCGCAGCCUUCGAUCAGCAAUUGAAGAAGUUGGAGGACGUUAUUGGAAUGCUCUGGAAAGAGGGGAAAUUCUGAAUCUCGUAUAAAAACUAAGUCAAACUCUUCUGGUUGUGUUAAUUGCCAGUUAUUUUACAUGUUGAUAAGGUCCUGUUCUGUGCAACAAACUAAGCUUAAUUAAAGUAUCACCAUGGCAAGUUGUUCAUCUUGGGUUAAUAGCUGUCCAGAGUGCGUGGUAUGGAAAAAAUUAUUCUACAUGAGUCGCCACGUCAUAAAUAUGGCAAGAAGAGAAAUGAAUAACAAAUAGUUAAAAGCUUGUGACAAACAGGCCAUUAAUUGAAGACCAUUGGAAUCUGGAAGAGAAAGAAGUUGCCAUGGCCAAGGCAAAUCUUACAAAAAUGAUUGCAGUCUGUCCAGAAUGUGAGGAACUAGUGCAGAUUCUCAAUAACAACUUUGAAUACUCUAUGAAACUUCACAAGAAAUCACAUCCAACUAUAAAAGUGGAGAUGCCUUUGAAAUUUGAAAAGAUUGGUAAUGACAGUUAUGAAAAAAUUGAUGUGGCAAGCAAUGAUGCAAUUUAUACCCUUCAGCCACUUGUUCAAAAGCAACAGUGUGAGGUAGAUAACAUAUCACACUCCCCUUUCUCAACUGUUGGUUAUUUGUGUGGAAAUCAACCUGGAACAAUUGUAAGAAAACCUUCAUUAAUCAAUUUACUAGAGGCUAUUCUUCCCUCAAUGCCUGAUUGUGUGAAAGUCCAUAUAAACUUUUUUUCUGAAACGGAGUACUCUAGGGCCAUAUGUAGUGUAUGCAAAAUUACAAUUGACCCGAUUUCUUACAUUCCACACCACAUAAAAACUAAGUUGCACGAAGAUAACAUCAUCAAUACACUCAAGACCCUGUUGCCCUUGAAGUCAAAGGAUCAGAUGAAAUUUGUCUCAUUUUAUAAUUCAAAUCUCUAUUGCAAUUUAUGUGAAUGUAAAAUAAUUCUUUGCUCAAGUGAUCUACACCAGUCUGUCAACAAUAUUUUCACUCAUAACGCUGAACAGAGCCACUCUAAUCAUGAGUCAGGUGGCCACAACCCGAGCCAAAGUUGUUGCGACCCAGCAACACAGGAUCAUGUGCACUUACUUGGUCCUAAUAUUUCAGAAGCGGUAAGGACGAAAAAAACAGCCUUUGAGAAUUUCUCAAAAACUAACAUGACCAUGAAGAGUAGGGCUGAGCUUUUAGAAAACUCUAAGAGUGAGUUAAAAAAUCUCUUCAGCCUUUACCCUUACAAAGAGGAUACAACGAAUAACACAAGGAAUACAAAACCCAUGGAAAAAUUACAAGAGGACAACAUGCAAAAUCACACGUUGAAGACCAAUGAAAAGGAUGAAAAAUUACCUACAGUAUUUGAUAACAUAACACCAUCAGUAAAGGAAGUAAAAAAUUUACCAAGCUCUGAAAACCAAGUUCAAACAAAGGAAGCUCCAGCAGAAGAAAAUAAUGUAAAUUCGGUUUAUAGAGAAUUAUUAAAAACCAAUGAACUAAUUAGAUCCAAUGAUAAAUUCAUAGAGCAAGAGAAAAAUGUCUUUGUUUGUAAGCCCUGUAAAGAUAUUUUAGUUGCAGAGGUAAAGAAUCUAGAAAGAAGACUCAUGGACCAUAUCUUGGGGCUUGAACACAACUUAAAUACCAAGCUCAUGGCCAAGGUAGAUAACUAUUAUAUUUGCAAAACAUGUUGCAAAGAAAACAGUAAUGAAAUGAUGACGUUUACAAAAUUAAAAUCAUUAAAAGAUCACAUCUCAAGUCAAGUACAUAUAAAAAAUAUGAUACUAUUCCUAUCAUUAGAUUCAGCUAUAAAAAGUUAUACUAGUUCUGUUUAUAGAAAUUUUUCAAAAACUAAUGCAGUGAUCGAACUCAAUUAUAAAUAUUUUGAGCAAGAGGAAAAUGCCUUUGUUUGUAAGCUCUGUGACAACACUCAUAUAGUGAUUGGUAAUGUACAGCAGGAACUAGAAGGAAGACUCAUGGACCAUAUCUUGGGACUUAAACACCACGUGAACACAAAGUUACUGGUCAAGGUAGAUAACUAUUAUAUUUGCUCAAUAUGUAGUGUAAACAAUACAAUACAAAUUUGUAAGAAGUUAACAACAUUGAACCAAAGAAUAAUGAAUCACACUUCAAGUCAGAAACACAUGCAAAACAUUGUAUUGUUAAACUCCUUACUUAAAUCUAAAAUAAAUAAUAUCAAUGCUGUUUAUAAAGAAUUGUUAAGAACCAAUGCAGUGAUCAGACUCAAUGAUAAAUACAUAGAGCAAGAGGAAAAUGUGUUUGUUUGUAAGCUCUGUAACAACACGCGUAUAUUGGUUGUGAAUGUACAGGAACUAGAACUAAGACUCAUGGACCAUAUGAUGGGACUCCAGCACAACUUGAAAACAAAGUUCCUGGCCAAGGAAGGUAAUUUUUAUAUUUGCAAAAUAUGUUUUGUAAAUAAUGAAAUACCAAAUUGCAAGUUAACAAAAUUGGAAAGAAUGAUUAUGGAUCACACUUCAAGUCAGGAACAUAUGCAAAACAUUGUCUUAAUGAAUUCGUUAGAUCCAGCUGCAAUUAAUGAUGUUUAUAGAGAAUUAUCAAGAACCAAUGCAGUGAUCAGACUCAAUGAUAAAUACAUAGAGCAAGAGGAAAAUGUGUUUGUUUGUAAGCUCUGUAACAACACGCGUAUAGUGAUUGAGAAUGUAAUAGAACUACAAAGAAUACUCAUGGACCAUGUGAUGGGUUUUGAACACAACUUGAACUCAAAGUUCCUGGUCAAGGUAGAUAACUAUUAUUUUUGCACCAUAUGUAGUGAAAACAAUACAAUAAAAAGUUCUAAGUUAAAAAAUUUGCAAAAUAGAAUAAUGAAUCACACUUCAAGUCAGAAACACAUGCAAAACUUUGUCUUGUUAAACUCAUUAGAUCCAGCUGAAAUAAGUGAUACCAAUGCUGUUUAUAAAGAAUUGCUAAGAACCAAUGAAGUGAUCAGACUCAAUGAUAAAUACAUAGAGCGAGAGGAAAAUGUCUUUGUUUGUAAGCUCUGUAACAACUUGCCUAUAGUGAUUGUGAAUGUAAAGGAACUUGAAAGAAGACUUAUGAAGCAUAUCUUAGGACUUAAACACAACUUGAAUACCAAGUUUCUGGCCAAGGAAGGUAAUUUUUAUAUUUGCAAAAUAUGUUUUGUAAAUAAUGAAAUACCAAAAUGUAAUUUACCAAAAUUGGAAAGAAAGAUGAUGGAUCAUACUUCAAGUCAGGAACAUAUGCAAAACAUAGUCUUAAUGAAUUCGUUAGAUCCAGCUGCAAUUAAUGAUGUUUAUAGAGAAUUAUCAAGAACCAAUGCAGUGAUCAGACUCAAUGAUAAAUACAUAGAGCAAGAAGAAAAUGUGUUUGUUUGUAAGCUCUGUAACAACAGGCGUAUAUUGGUUGUGAAUGUACAGGAACUAGAACUAAGACUCAUGAACCAUAUGAUGGGACUCCAGCACAACUUGGAAACAAAGUUCCUGGCCAAGGAAGGUAACUUUUAUAUUUGCAAAAUAUGUGUUGUAAACAAUAAAAUACCAAAUUAUAAGUUACCUAAAUUGGAAAGAAAGAUAAUUAAACAUACUUCAAGUCAGGAACAUAUGCAAAACAUUGUCUUAAUGAACUACAACCAAUCCAGAACUACAGAAGAUCCAGCUACAAUUAAUGAAGUUUAUAGAGAAUUAUUAAGAAGUAAUACAGUGAUUAGGCUCAAUGAAAAAUAUAUAGAGCAAGAAGGAAGUGUCUUUGUUUGUAAGCUUUGCAACAACACACAUAUAGUGGUUGAGAAUCUAAAAGAUCUCGAAGAAAGCAUCAUAGAUCAUAUCAUGACUCUUGAACACGAUGAAACACUAACAUUUCAAGAAGAGGAAGUAAUUGUUAGUUUCCUAGAGAAGACUGAGUUGUCUGAUACUGAAAUCAGGGAGAAUCUUAAUUUUUUAAGAACAGAAGAUGACAUCAUUAGGUGUACUCUGUGUGAUUUUACAAUUCCUUCAAAUGGAGAAAAUGAUGAGAUAAUUGAAAAUUUAGCUGUACAUUUGAGAGAAUCUGGUCAUAAUGCAAACAAAAAAGUAUCCAAUGAAUACAUUGGAGAUACACUUGGAAAUACACUUACUGACAAUAUCAGCCAUUGGUUCAAUAAACUUCCAACCAAGUACUUGGAGGACAUCGAAUACAUCACAUUUAGUCCGUUCAAGCGAUUUUUGUCCUGUAAACUUUGUAACUCCACGAUUCAUCCCCGUUACUUGAAAGAACAUCUGGAAGAGUUGGUUCACACUCAAGAAAAAGAACUAAAAAAGAAACCAAACCUCUUGAGUAAAUCUACUCAUAUCGUGACAGACCAAAAUGUGCUGAGACAUUUGGAUACUCUGUCUUCCUUGUUGAAAAAGAUACAACUGAAAUCUCCAUGGCAGAAAUAACCUCUUCAUUUGAUUCAUCCCUCACUAAGAACCAUUCUGUACAUCAAACUCUUCAUAAAGUUCCUACUGGAUUGUGUCCUGCAUUCAAAUUAAAUAACAUACCUAAAAAUGAAUGAACUUUUACAAUGAAUAGUUAUUCUACAUAAUAGUCUCACUUUUGUAGACUUGCUGUCAUAAACUGAUGUCUUUAGAGAAUUGUGUGAUUGUAAUCAAUGUGACUAAUCUUAAAUCUAUCAAUCAACAACUCCACAGUAAAAAAGCACAAAGCCAGCAAACCAAGGUCAAUUGUGCUGUAUUCAUAAUGUUUUUAUUGACAUUUGAAAUAGUCAUAAUGUUUAAAGUUAUACAAAUUCAAUCACAAAAUAUUCAAAACCUUUGAUUUGUUGUAUCUUCUUACGGAACAAAACUGAGAAAAAAAAAAUUCUGUAAUAAUUAUUUCAAAAAUUGUAAUAAGUUUUUGUAUCUGAACUAGCUACUAAUUUGUCAUCUUUUGAGGUAAGAGGAUGAUGUGUAUAGGGCCUGUUGUACAAAUUUAUUUCAAACAAUUAUCUUGUAAAUAAUUUAUUUUUUGAUCCUACAAAAAAUAAUUAUUGUUACAACAAUAAUAUUGUAAUCUUAUUUUUAUUUGAUUGCAAUCCUAUUGAAUACUUUCAUAAUUAACUAUAUUAAAAUAUCACAAUCUUCUCAAUGAAAAAAUUAAAAAAAAAACUUGUGUUCAA